GUAGUCGUGGCCGAGUGGUUAAGGUGAUGGACUAGAAAUCCAUUGGGGUCUCCCCGUGCAGGUUCAAAUCCUGCCGAUUACA
rnacentral:tRNA from 1 species